rnacentral:rRNA from 1 species
UACCCAGACUCCUACGGGAGGCAGCAGUGAGGAAUAUUGGUCAAUGGGAGAGAUCCUGAACCAGCCAAGCCGCGUGAGGGAAGACGGCCCUAUGGGUUGUAAACCUCUUUUGUCGGAGAACAAAACCCGGGACGAGUCCCGGACUGCGUGUAUCCGAAGAAAAAGCAUCGGCUAACUCCGUGCCAGCAGCCGCGGUAAUACGGAGGAUGCGAGCGUUAUCCGGAUUUAUUGGGUUUAAAGGGGGCGUAGGCGGAAUGCCAAGUCAGGGGUAAAAGCCCGGGGCUCAACCCCGGCGAGCCGUUGAAACUGGCUGUCUUGAGAUGUCGAGAGGUAUGCGGAAUGCGCAGUGUAGCGGUGAAAUGCUUAGAUAUUGCGCAGAACUCCGAUUGCGAAGGCAGCAUACCGGCGGCGAUCUGACGCUGAGGCACGAAAGCGUGGGUAUCGAACAGGAUUAGAUACCCCGGUACC